CGCUACAAAAUGUAAACCGAGUGUAAAUUCACCGGAGAGCGACGUGUUUCCAUGAUCGCGUCUGGUUUUACAGUAUUAUAGUAUCAAAGUAUUUUUCUAGACAAAGUAUUCCCAGCAGGUUAUUUCAGUGUACAGUUUAAUGUAAAUUGUCUUCCACACGGCACAUUACAAUGUCACGAAACUAAUAUUAAAUUAAUCGAGCCUGCCGUUUUCCAGCUUUUACUCUUUAUUGCGUCGACUGCAGAUCAGUGACAAGUAGCGUACAGAACGGAGCUGGGCAAGUGGCUCCUCCUACUUUGCGCGCUCUCGUGGAUGGGGAAACAAUUUUUGACGGGGGUAACUACUUUGGCACAACACCGGCUUUGUUACCCUCUAGUCUCCGUGUACUUCAGAUACAUGUAUUUAUGCUGUUUUUAUGCGUAAUAAAAGGAAUAAAACACUAAUCUUGGCACGUCGCCUCCAGCAGGAAGUGAUCCGCUCAGCAGGCACUGCUCUCGUUAGCUACCAGGUUCAUUUGACGGGGAAAGAAAAAUGAGCCAGAAACAGCAGAAAACGACAUCCGUCCCCACAGUCUGUGCGGUCAGGGAGAUAGCGACCUUAGAGAGUUGAUACCCAGGCAUAUGUACACGCCGCAGUUUGGAAACAACAUCUGCACUUCAGGUACGCUGGAUUCUUCUGAUACUCACUUAAAUGUGUCCCUGGUGUCCAGCAGGCUGAAGAUCGACAUCUGGAGUUUCUCUCUGAAGCCUGACUUCCUCCUUGUGCUUCUGUGGCUUAUGCGGCCAUAAAUUCGUCACCAUGGCGACCAGCUGGAUUAUUGAAAGUCCCCCGUCUGACUUUCUGAGUGUUCACUGUGGCUCUGCUCUGCAGCUGGUCUCCUUUUCCACUUUGCAGUCACUUGAUGUUGAAGAGGUGAGUGUGUUAGAGGAAAUGUUAAUGUCAGGUUUAAUUUGUAUCCACUCAGAGGUCAUUUGUACCUCCUGCUGCUGCUGCUGCUGUGGUUGUAAUAAUGUAAACCCUGAUUGGUUGGAUAGUUUGAGUGACAGCUUUACUGAGGCAAAGCAGAACAGCUGCUGAUCCUGAGCUACUCUUACAAAUGGAAGUUCAGUGAAGAUCAUAUCCUCUAUUGGACCUGACUGAACAGCCAGAGCCUGAUAUUCUCUACAGUCAUGGCCAGAAGAAGCUCCAGUGUCAGAAAUGAAUCACAAAGCUCAAGUUUAUCUAUAUUUACAUGGUAAUAAAAAGUCUGUAAAGUGGUUAUCAGUGUUGGGGUCCUUAAUGCUGACUGAAAAUAGUUUCUGACCUCUUAAUGAAAAGUGCCUUUAAAACUUUUUUUUUUUUAAAUAAACAGAAAAUAUGCUUUUAAAAAUAUGACACGGAGGGUUUUAUGGAAAUAAAGUAGGUGUAUUAUUUAGCUGUAUCUGAAAAUCCUUAUCAGGUGAUUAAUUGAAUUCACCCUGUUUUGUGAACGUGUAGAUUUUCACCCUUUUUUUUUUAUUUAAAGCCAAUAAAUGUCUCGCCUUUUAAUUUGA